UCAUAUGCUUGUCUCAAAGAUUAAGCCAUGCAUGUCUAAGUAUAAGCAAUUAUACAGCGAAACUGCGAAUGGCUCAUUAUAUAAGUUAUCGUUUAUUUGAUAGUGCCUUACUACUUGGAUAACCGUGGUAAUUCUAGAGCUAAUACAUGCUGAAAAUCCCGACUCCGGAAGGGAUGUGUUUAUUAGAUUAAAAACCAAUGCCCUCUGGGCUCCUUGGUGAUUCAUGAUAACUGUUCGAAUCGCAUGGCCUUGCGCCGGCGAUGGUUCAUUCAAAUUUCUUCCCUAUCAACUUUCGAUGUUUGGGUAUUGGCCAAACAUGGUCGCAACGGGUAACGGAGGGUUAGGGCUCGACCCCGGAGAAGGAGCCUGAGAAACGGCUACUACAUCCAAGGAAGGCAGCAGGCGCGCAAAUUACCCAAUCCCGAUCCGGGGAGGUAGUGACAAUAAAUACUGAUACAGGGCUCUUUUGGGUCUUGUAAUUGGAAUGAGUACAAUUUAAAUCCCUUAACGAGGAACAAUUGGAGGGCAAGUCUGGUGCCAGCAGCCGCGGUAAUUCCAGCUCCAAUAGCGUAUAUUAAAGUUGUUGUGGUUAAAAAGCUCGUAGUUGAACCUUGGGCCUGGCUGGCCGGUCCGCCUCACCGCGUGCACUGGUCCGGCCGGGCCUUUCCCUCUGCGGAACCCCAUGCCCUUCACUGGGCGUGGCGGGGAAGCAGGACUUUUACUUUGAAAAAAUUAGAGUGCUUCAGGCAGGCCUAUGCUCGAAUACAUUAGCAUGGAAUAAUGAAAUAGGACGCGCGGUUCUAUUUUGUUGGUUUCUGGGACCGCCGUAAUGGUUAAUAGGGACAGUCGGGGGCAUCAGUAUUCAAUCGUUAGAGGUGAAAUUCUUGGAUCGAUUGAAGACUAACUACUGCGAAAGCAUUUGCCAAGGAUGUUUUCAUUAAUCAGGAACGAAAGUUAGGGGAUCGAAGACGAUCAGAUACCGUCGUAGUCUUAACCAUAAACUAUGCCGACUAGGGAUCGGACGACGUUAAUUUUUGACGCGUUCGGCACCUUACGAGAAAUCAAAGUGCUUGGGCUCCAGGGGGAG
rnacentral:rRNA from 1 species